rnacentral:misc_RNA from 1 species
GGGGGGGCGCGAAUGAGAGAGAUUUCGUUUGAAAUCCCUGCUUGUUAUCAUGAGACUGUCCGUACAUUGCAGACCCAUGACAAAAAAAAUUUAGGGCCUAAGUUGGAUUUUUGUAUAGGAGUACACAUGCUUUCUGAGUAUGUUACUGUCCGUUGAUUAAUCAGUAGGUGAGUUUAUUUGAACUACGAAAGUAUCUGUCAUUAAUCUGAAUUGCAGUCUGUCCUCUGAUAUUAUGUAAAUUUUUUAGAUUUUGCAAUUUGGCUAUAAACAUUUUCUUUUUCCAUGAGGAAUAAGUUGUAUCAUACACAGGGUGAUAAAAUUAAAUGCUUAAAUGUUGUUUUUUUAGCAUUUCCAAUAUGCACUCCUUAAAUUCUCCAUCAUGUUAUUUUUAUAAUUUAUGUUUAUAUGUUCUCCCACUCAUUUUCUUUUGUUAUAAAAUAAUAUUUCCAUAUUGGGAUAUUAUGAUUAAUAUUGACAUUUAAAUUCUGAUUGUGCUAAUCUGGCAUCAGAAUGUCUUUUUGUGACUACAAUCACUUGACUACAAUUGGCUGCUUAGUUGCUGAGAAUUGGUGAUUCAGUCAGGAAAAUAAAUGUCAGAAUUGUUAAGGAUCAAUUCCUAUCAUGAUUAUCUACCAUGAUACAUUUCCGAGGAUUUAACCCAAA